GGGAAAUGGGAAGAGGGGCCAGCCUCAGGCCCCACAACAAAUUGGGGCA
rfam:Pongo abelii chromosome 6.